CAAGCUUAAUUUAUAUUGGUGUAAAAUUUUAUUUACAAUAAAUCUUUGUUGUUCGAUUCAACUUUGCUUGA
rnacentral:tRNA from 1 species